GCUCAGCGGCAUAAGCAUCUGCCUUGCAAGCAGGCGGUCGUGAGUUCGAUCCCUGGUACUGAUAAAAACGAAAAAAAAAAAAAAAAAAAAAAAAACCCACAGGGAGUGGGGCCUAAAGAUACAGCUCAAUAUAAAGGCCUGUGUUCAAUCCCCCUACCACAAAUAAUAAUAAUGUAAUAAAAAAGGAGGUUGUCGCUGUUCACCAAAAGCAACACAGGUACCUUUUUUCCAGUGAACACCCAUCUCCGAAGUUUUCUUACUGUUAGGAGGAGGCAAAGUUUGUUAAUGCUGCUGAGACAGGUUGUAGCCCAGGCAGGCCUUGAACUCACAGUGCUCCUUCUGCCUCAGUCUCCACUGAGUGCUAGGAUGACAGGUGUGCCCCACCACACGUGGCCUCGUCCUUUUCAGCGUCGCCGAUAAAAAGCCUGACUCACAGCAGAUGGAGACUGGGAGUUGUGUCAGACUGAACUCCCAAGCUACAAAAGCCUUCAGAGUUACACCCCUGGGAGAAAUGCUGGUGCGUGGCUACAUCAGCCCUGUCUGGACACGUCUUCCAGCUGACUAGCUCAGGAAGCCGCGCUCAACAUUUCAUUAACAGCACAACCCCCUGAGAUUCAAAAGGAUGUUCACUGCGGCUUGAUGGGCAUCACCAGGCUGACGCGGAGUAUCUGGGCCCAAGGAGUCACCUCCGGCAUGGUGACUUAGUACCUGGGUCCCUUGGUGACAGCAGCCCUGCAAAACUCACCAGGCAGGACGAGCCCACCACACAGAGCCCCGCAAAAGCUCCUCCUCAGGGAGGACUGUGCGCUCCACGCUGUGACUACCAUUCUUUAUGCACUCAGCAAACACAGCCAGAGGCCCUCGGGGUGCUGGGCUCAGUGCUGCACAAUCCCAACAGGAAGAGCCCAUGAAGGAUAGUGCAGAGCUGGGCCACGGGGGAGGGCCAUGGGAGGCACUGGCACCACACAGGCGGCGCCCCACUCCCAGCCUCCCACGCUCCUCAAGCUCAAGGUCAAAACAUCUAUUGUGUAAGACGGGAGCAGCUGGGCCUGAAGAAAAGGAAGCCAAAAGCAAAGCAAAGACCUUGCUGGGAUUCCCGGGGCCGCGCCAAGGCCCCAGCGUAGCACAGAGCCAGCAGGUCCAGGGCAUCAGGGACUGGAGCAGUGGACCUUCGGAGCAGCCAUGAAGCAGCUAGAGCACUCAGUCUCACGCUAGGGCGAAAAGAAAUCACUGAGCUACCACAAUCUGGACUGGUUCCCUGGAGGACCUUGCGAAAAAGAAACCUCUGCUGCCUGUCCAGAACCUCGGCCUUCAGUGAGCCUCUGGUCUUCCCAGAGUGAAGCAGCGCUCUCCCUGACAUAUGUAAAUAAGAUAAAAGGGGCAUGCAACCUCUUGGCCAAUCACAUAGCUCCUUGUAACCUCUAGACCAAUUAUAUACCUUCUUGUAACCUCCUGACCAAUCAUGUCCCUCCAUCACCCCGCCAUAUGCAAAAGAAUGUGAAACUCAGGGUAACUUGUGGUCCAGUCAAUUAACAACAAGCGCCUGGACCUGUGCUUCCUACUUGCCUGUAUACUCUUUUUUGAAAACAAAACAAAAAAAUAAGUAAAACAUAGGGCCUGACUGGUGAGCGAACCUGGCCAGGCCCGCCGGCGUACAUAAUACACCUGUGUACAUGCCUUGGAUCCCCACCCCCGUGUGCCAAAUGCUGUGGGGUUUUUGCACUGUCUGCUGCAACAAUUGUGGCGAGCUGUGUAACACUGUGUCACACUUUGAUUGCAACAGUGAGGUUCUGAGCCGCCCUGGCAGGGAGGCGUUGAGAGGUGCACAGUGAUCACAGAACGAAAAUCCCAAUGGGAGGGGUGCAGGGACCCUGCAAAGGUGAGGCCACACCAGGGGGGAGGAAGCAGCAGUGAGGGGACUGACUCCACGGGGGGCAGGGCCCUGGAGUGUGUGGCAGGAACAGGGCAGGGAAAGAAGAGGCUAAGGAGACAGCGGCUCAGGAGUUGUGCUCAACUCAGCUUUGCCCUGCGGUGACACACAGGAGAGGAAGGAGAGGUGAGAAACAAGAAGUCCAGGGUUAUUUGUUGGUUUGUUUGUUUGCAGUACAGAGGCUCAAAUGCAGGGUAUGCUACCACUGAGCUACAUCCCCAGCCUUUUUUAUUUUGGGACAAAGUCUCAUUCUUUAGCACAGGCUGGCCUCAAACUUGCAAUCCUCCUACCUCAGCCUACAGGUGCUAAGAUCGCAGACUUUGCACCUCCUCCACGCCCAGCUAAGCCCAGGCUGUGCCCCCCCCCCCACUAUUCCUGGGCUGGUGCCCUCGCUGGCUCCAUGGUGUCCAAAGACGCAGCUGUGGCUCUCCCCCUCAGGGGACUGAGAAGUGUUCUUGGGAUUUGCGGGUCCUACAGAAAUUCCAACUGGGGUGCAACUGAGUACCGAGCGCCUGCCUGGUGUACAAGAAAUCUUGGGUACCCUUCCCAGCACUAGGGGCGGGGUGUAGCACCAGAGGCACUGCAGCCCCUUCCUGGGAGAGGACCUACUCCCCUGAGCCAGGCUGCCAGCCCUGCCCAGCAGCACCUGAGGGCACGGGAGCUCCUCCUCCUUCCCCCAUGCUGUCCCUUUGUGGGGAGCAGGGCAAUCCUGUUUGGCCGAACGCCAGUGCCACCCUGUGCUGUGCUCUCUGGGAGGCACCUGUACCCCUGUCCUCGUCACUGCUUCCAGAAGCAUCCUGAGACCAGCAAGGGCCAGGGACAGCAGGGCUGAGCCAGGGCUCCUACGCAUGCGUAUACUCGCGCAUGUGUGCGUGAAUGUGCACGCACAUGCAGGUGCAUGUGUGUGUGCAGGUGAACAUGUGCGCACACACAGCAGAUAGUGCCAAGGGCUGUGCAGGAAAGGACAGUAUGUCAGGCACAGUGUGGCCCACUGUCACCCCAGCACGGUGGGAGGCCGAGGCUGGAAAAUGUCAAGUCUGAACCCAAUUUGGGUCGACUCAGUGACUUGGUAAGGCCCUGUCUCAAAACAUAAAGACCUGGGGAUGCAGCUCAGUGGGAAGGUCCAGUAUGGGGCGGGGGAGAGGAGGGACCUAAAGCACGAUUAGCCACAAGGUCCCUCUGAGGAGACACUCAGGCUGGGACCGGAAUGACAGGAUUCUCAGGCAAGGAGAACAGCACCUGCCUCUUCCAGACCCAGCCCUGCGCACCCAGCCCCAGGCAGGAAGGGGGUCAAACUCCGCUCUGGCGGGGUAGGAUUCAGAAUGCACACCUGGCAGUCUGGGCUCCGUCCCCAGGACCACGCGCACACGCACACGCAUGCAUACGCAUGCGCACACAGGUAGCGUCGCCUUGGAUAGUCACGGGUUCCACAUCUUCAGGUUCAACCAACCAGACCAAAAACAAAAAGAGGAAACAGACCCCACUUGCACUGAACCUGAACCUGCAGACUUUUUAAGGAUGGUUCCCCGAACAGCACAGGCCGCCACCAGCCAGCCCCACAGCACUCUUCGCCAGGUCUCCCCGUUCGUUCUGGGCCCCUGAGCGGCACAGGCAGGGGCGCAGGGUCUGGGAACCCAGGAAACUGUCCUCUGAGCACCAAAAUGCUGUUCCGAACCCCAAAACUUCCUAGGUAGCCCCCUACCUAGGAAAGGCCCACCUGGAAACUGGCUUUCCCUGCCACCGAGCCUCGGCCUGCACCCCGCUUCCCGUGGCACAGUUCCUGCACCAUGGAGCCCCAGGGGCCGGCGGGGAGCCCCCUUCCUCGUAUCCCCAGGCUCUGCUCCAGGAAGAGUCCAGUCUGAGCAAGGGGCAGGGACAUGACAGCACCCGCCUGCUCAUGCAGCGCAGCUGGGAGCACCUGAAAAGGGCCUUUGUCCCGGAUGGAGCUGGGAACCACUCAGGGCCUGUCCCCAACUGAUGGGGGGGGGGGGGUGGACUGUUGCAGGAGUCCAUCUGUUUCACGCUGCUGCUCUUGGACAGCUAAAACUUUCAAGAACUGUCAGAGAAGGAAACCUCAGCACCCCCAAGAUAAAGUCCAUGGUCCCUCGGAUGUACAGGGCCUUGCCCGCCAGCCUUCACUCCCAUGGGGGUCACCCUGAGCCUACUCCGGGGCAGGAGCCAGGCAUAGAGUCCCUCCUUGUUGCAGGGAGCAGUGGGGGGACACUUGCCUCCCAGGUGCCAGGACCUGGCUCUCAUCCCCGGGACUGGCGAGCCCAGAGGAUGCAAGGAGCUUGAGCCCCAGCCCUGGGUGGCUCCCUGCUUCCUCCCACCCCCAGCCCCCUGCUCAUCUCCAGGUCCCACCCAUCUUGUAACAGGGCAUAGCACCGCAGGCUGCAAUCCCAGCCCCAGGGAGGCUGAGACAGGAGAAUCACUGGAGCACAGGUGAAGGCCACCCUGUACUGCACAGCAAGACUCUGUGUCUCAGAAAGCCGAAAAGAAGCUCUCCACCUUCCCUGAGUGCCUGGGCCGCAUGGGACAGAGCUGAGGCGUCAGCUUCUCAGGAAGCUGAGGCGGAGGAAUCAUGUGAACACAGGAGUUUAGCUCAGCGGGGAAACACAAGGAGCCCCUGUCUGUCAAGCGUGUGCACACUCUGUUUUGUUUUGCGCGUGUAUUGCAGCACCAGGGAUCGAGCCCAGGGAUUGCCCUCACCCACCACUGAGCUACAUCCUCACCCUUAUUUUUUUUUUUUUGACAUUAAAAUUGCACAGGGUCUGCACACUGCAACUGUUCUGUAAAACAGAUCCAGUGCACAAUGUAUGUACCAUUGUUGCCCAUGAUGUUUUGAAAUUUUGUUUUUGCUUUUUUCUCUUUGAAAUAAAAUGGAUUUGAAAAAAUAACAACAGUAGGUGCCUUAAAAAAAAAAAACAACAGGCAAAGUGGUGCAGUCCUAAGCCCGGCACUCAGGAGUCUGAGGCAGGAGGAUCGCCAAGAAUUCGAGGCCAGGGCUGGGGAUUUAGCUCAGCAGCAUAAGCGUCUGCCUUGCAAGCACACGGCUGUGAGUUCGAUCCCAGUACCGCCAAAAAAAAAAGAAUUCGAGGCCAGCCUGGGCUACAUAGUGAGACUCGGUCUCAAAAAAAAAUCCAGUACACUUUCGUGGCUAGCUGGUCCCAACCUUACCUCACGUGCACUGAAUGGCUCGCCGAAGCAGAGUCCACUCUAGGACACAGACACUCUGGCAGCCGCCGUCCUCCCCCUCUGUCCCCAGCCCCAGCGUUCCAGGGACAGGAGCACCUCUGACAAAGGAGGUGGCAGGACAAACCCGAGCCCAGACCAGCUCUGCUGUCAGGCUGUGAGGCGCAGUGAACGCACCCGGUGCCCUGUGCGGUCCUCGCCUGGAAAGCAAAAGGGACACAAAUACCCACCCUCCCCCACCACGUGCUCCAGGGACCUGGGCUGUGCCGCUACAGGACCAGGACCUGAAUCCCAGCACUCUGGGAGGCUGAGGCAGAAAGAAAGCAAAGCCUGCCUGGGCAGCAGAAGUGACUCCCUGAGAUCCUGUCUCAACAUAAAAUAUUUUUUAAGAAUUUUCUAAAGGACUGGGAAUGUAGCUCAGUGCAAAGGCCCUCGGUUCAGUCCCCAGAAGAGUGAAUGAAUGAAAGAAUAUAAAUGGAUGGAACCGACGCCAGCAGCCACCGCUCACAACACCCCCGCUGUGUGGGACUGGUCCUUCCCCGGAGUGGGCCACCUAGGUCUGGGCCUUCCUCAGCCAGGAUGUGGCCUCAGGCAAGGUCCUUGUCUCUCUGAGUUCCAGCUGCCUUCUUUACAAAACAGGGGUUCAAAAAGCAGCUCUUGGGAUCCUCAGGAGGAUGCAAUUGGGCGGGGACGCAGCUCAGGCAAGCCCAAGGUCCAAGGUCGUGAGUUCGAUUCCCAGAGCCAAAGAAAGAAAAAAAAGAAUAAUCCAAACCAUGGUCUGUCCCUUCUACUCUAAAGAGAAAAGGGGGUGGCUCAGUGAUAGAACCCUGGGUUCCAUCCCCACCCAGUCCCCCCAAAAAGAAGGAAAAGCGACCACAGGAGGAGGAGGACUUGUACCAGGGCCCAUCCUGUGUCCAAAUGCACCGUACAGCAUUUUCCCAAGCUCUGUGCAGUGCAGAGUGCAGGAAAGUACGACAGAGAAUCGGUCCUCAACCUCCAGGUGUGACACCUGCCGGGGGCAACAGGCACCAGGAAUCCAGGUGCUGCAGCGCCCACCUGCAGUCCAGGGGGGCUGUCACCGAAAGCCCUCACAGGUCCACCAUAAACCAUACACAGAAACCCCCUUGACAGGUUUUUGGUUUUUGAGACCAGGUCUCACUGGGGAGCCCAGGCUGGCUCCAACUUGUGCCAAUCCUCCUGCCUCAGCCUCCCCAGUGCUAGGGUUACAGGCUGACGCUGCCAUGCCCGGCUGCCUGUUUGUCUGUUGUUGUUGUUGUGUGUGGGCUGUGCUCCGUCUCACAAUGAUCCUCCUGCCUCAGCCUCCUAAUAAUGAGAUUACAGAUAGGUGUGCGCCACUGUGCCUGGUAGGUUUUUAAAAUCUAGGGAAUCUUCUAUAACUUGGAUAUUUGGUGGCUUUCACCUCCAAGGAGCGACGUAGACAGGCUCAGGGAGGAUACCUAAUCUAGCCAGAGGUAGUGACAGGGCCAGGAUUGGGCCCUGGUCCUACCCAAGGUACACACACCCAUGACACCAUGACCCACAGGUCUCCUUUCUCCUCCACUGUCCCCCUCCUACCCAGUUCUCACACCAAACGGUUGCUUCUAGACCAGGAGCCUGCUUCCAGAACUGGGCAUAGUGGUACCACGCCUGUUAUCCCAGAAUUCAGGAGGCCGAGGCAGGUGGAUCACCUCAAAUUCAAGGCAGCCUGGACCAUGCAGGAAGACCUUGUCUCAAAACAAACAAACAAAAAGAACUUUCAUCCUUAUGAAAGUUGAUGCAGGAACUUGCCAAAAAAAUAAGAUGAUGAACCCAUCAAAAACUGCUCACAAGAUGGAAACCAACAAGCCUGGCAAGGACAAGGCCCCGAGUUCGAUUUCUGAUACCAAAAAAAAAAAAAAAAAAGAUGCGAA